AAAAAGCUUAAACACAUUGGUGAAAAACGAAAAGAUGAAGAAGAGCAAUUUGGCCAAGUCAAAACAAGAAAGUAUGACGCCCUAAACUAUGUAGCAGCCCCAUUUGAGCUUAAGACUAACGUCUGUGUGGAACCGCAGCAGUUCAACAUUCAAACGAAAGACUUCUUUCUACCAUCACUACAACAGAUUGGUAACAGUAUCAAAGACA